GGGAUUGUGGCUCAGUGGUAGAGCGCUCGCCUAGCAUGGGCGCGACCUGGGUUCGAUUCUCAGCACCA
rfam:Ictidomys tridecemlineatus contig063531, whole genome shotgun sequence.